rnacentral:rRNA from 1 species
UACGUAGGGCGCAAGCGUUAUCCGGAAUUAUUGGGCGUAAAGAGCUCGUAGGCGGUUUGUCGCGUCUGCCGUGAAAGUCCGGGGCUCAACUCCGGAUCUGCGGUGGGUACGGGCAGACUAGAGUGAUGUGGGGGAGACUGGAAUUCCUGGUGUAGCGGUGAAAUGCGCAGAUAUCAGGAGGAACACCGGUGGCGAAGGCGGAUCUCUGGGCCUUACCUGACGCUCAGGCGCGAAAGCUAGGGGAGCGAACAGG